rnacentral:rRNA from 1 species
UACGAAGGGGGCUAGCGUUGCUCGGAAUCACUGGGCGUAAAGCGCACGUAGGCGGAUCUUUAAGUCAGGGGUGAAAUCCCGGAGCUCAACUCCGGAACUGCCUUUGAUACUGGAGAUCUUGAGUCCGGGAGAGGUGAGUGGAACUGCGAGUGUAGAGGUGAAAUUCGUAGAUAUUCGCAAGAACACCAGUGGCGAAGGCGGCUUACUGGUCCGGUUCUGACGCUGAGGCGCGAAAGCGUGGGGAGCAAACAGG